rnacentral:rRNA from 1 species
AGAGUUUGAUCCUGGCUCAGAUUGAACGCUGGCGGCAGGCCUAACACAUGCAAGUCGAGCGGAAACGAUGGGAGCUUGCUCCCAGGCGUCGAGCGGCGGACGGGUGAGUAAUACAUAGGAAUCUGCCCAGUAGUGGGGGACAACUCGAGGAAGCUCGAGCUAAUACCGCAUACGCCCUACGGGGGAAAGCAGGGGAUCUUCGGACCUUGCGCUAUUGGAUGAGCCUAUGUCGGAUUAGCUUGUUGGUGGGGUAACGGCUCACCAAGGCGACGAUCCGUAGCUGGUCUGAGAGGACGACCAGCCACACUGGGACUGAGACACGGCCCAGACUCCUACGGGAGGCAGCAGUGGGGAAUAUUGGACAAUGGGGGAAACCCUGAUCCAGCCCUGCCGCGUGGGUGAAGAAGGCUUUCGG